rnacentral:rRNA from 1 species
AUUGAACGCUGGCGGCAGGCCUAACACAUGCAAGUCGAGCGGAUGACGGGAGCUUGCUCCUUGAUUCAGCGGCGGACGGGUGAGUAAUGCCUAGGAAUCUGCCUGGUAGUGGGGGACAACGUUUCGAAAGGAACGCUAAUACCGCAUACGUCCUACGGGAGAAAGCAGGGGACCUUCGGGCCUUGCGCUAUCAGAUGAGCCUAGGUCGGAUUAGCUAGUUGGUGGGGUAAUGGCUCACCAAGGCGACGAUCCGUAACUGGUCUGAGAGGAUGAUCAGUCACACUGGAACUGAGACACGGUCCAGACUCCUACGGGAGGCAGCAGUGGGGAAUAUUGGACAAUGGGCGAAAGCCUGAUCCAGCCAUGCCGCGUGUGUGAAGAAGGUCUUCGGAUUGUAAAGCACUUUAAGUUGGGAGGAAGGGCAGUAAGUUAAUACCUUGCUGUUUUGACGUUACCGACAGAAUAAGCACCGGCUAACUCCGUGCCAGCAGCCGCUGUAAUAC